rnacentral:lncRNA from 10 species
CGACUUCGUGUGCUCCACGCGAGGGCCGCCUGACGCCAGAGUUUCUCCCGCAUCUGCCAUCAGAGGACCGUCGCCCUCAGGAGCCCGAGCUCCCGCGGCUUCUCCGAAAUUGGAGUUCCAGAAGCCAUCCUUGGAUAACAUCUCUAUAAUCUCCUGGGAGAAUCCUUCUUCGAAGAAAUCCUCCAUCAGAGGAGAGUUCUUGGUCUCAGUCACAUCUGAAAGAGCAAGUGCAAAUGUCUCCUGUUCACUAAGGGUAAGUGAGCAGAAGACUGAGGAUUUGAACCCCUCUGACUAUAUAUAUAUAUAUAUAUAUAUAUAUUUUUUUUUUUUUUUUUGGAGACUGAGUCUUGCCCUGUUGCCCAGGCUGAAGUGCUGCACGAUCUCAGCUCAACGCAACCUCUGCCUCCUGGGUUCAAGUGAUUCUCCUGCCUCAGCCUCCCGAGUAGCUGGGACUGCAGGUGCCCUCCACCACGCCCAGCUAAUUUUUGUAUUUUUAGUAGAGACAGAGUUUCAGCAUGUUGGCCAGGCUGGUCUCGAACUCCUGACCUCAAGUGACCGGCCUGCCUCGCCCUCCCAAAGUGCUGGGAUUACAGGUAUGAGCCACCACGCCUGGCCCCCAUAUUCUUAACUACCAAGCUGUAUGCUCUCUGGGAUCCUUCACAAAACAUGAAUGUCACUGCUCUGCUGUAUGCCUCCAGUCUCCCCAUCUCUCCUCUCCUCCAUCAUCAUACCUUUUCCAGCCUGUCCCUUGUGCAGUUCUUGGCUCACCAUCUGAGUAUCUAUGAGACUGCUUAAAGUCUCUCUGCCUGGAAUUAAAACUUGCAAAUGAAAGCCUUCUGAAACCACAUCUUGUUCUGAAUUGUCACCUUUGCCUCUGCUCAUCUCUCCCACAGAUAUCCAGCUCACUCUCCUCACCACACUUGUGCUCAUGUUGUUCCCUCGGCCUCAAAUGCACCAACAGACAUGUAAUAGGCACCCCUUAUAUGCCAAGCAUGAUGUCAGGAGCUGGGAAUACAGGGUGAAUCAGCUAAGCCCUGCUUCCAAGAGCGGCAUGCUGUUAAAGGGGAAAGACGCUUAUGUGGUAACUAUGCAACUCAAGUGUCACUACUAGAGGAUAUGGAGGUAUAUUUGUUAGUAAAGGCAUGGCUACCUAUGUUUGGAAACAGCCAAUAUGCUGAGGUGACAGAAACAGAAAGCAGAAGUUGUGAGAGCCUGUGCAUGAGUUAGUCACCUAUGAGGAACACUGAUGUGCUGAAGAGGAGGCUGCAGAGGCCUCAUGUACACGAGCCUGAGCGUGGUGAGCCAAGAAGGGAGCUGCAGACUGACUGGAUGGGGUACAGCCUGAGAUUCCUGUGGUCUCUGGUUCAGGGCCCUGCUUCUCAUGCUGGGGACGUCUCUACCAUGGGUAAUACCCCAGGAAUCCUCACCACCUAACCUGAUCCACCUGGAGGAACCCCGGCUUGGGAGAUGGCAGGGCAGAUGCUCUUGGCAGCAUUCAGGCCUGGGCUUAAGUUACUCCCUGAUGUGGCCAUCUGCUAUGCCCCAGGGAUAGGAAGGAAAAAUGGGCCUGAAGGAAAGGAGGUAAAAGAAGUAGAAUGAGGGUCAACACACUCAGGGAGCACAAGGCAGGAAAGUAGAGAGACCAACUGAGAGAGUGGAGGGCGUACCCUUGUUGAGUCUGGAAGGAAAGAGGAGGAGCUGUGGAGAGGCACCAGGAUAACCCUGUGCUGAAGGGCAAGGUAGAGAGACCCCAGAGUGAGGGUCUAUAAAAAUGUCCUGAUCCCCCCAGCUCCCAGGACAAGGGGAUGGAAGCCAGCGAGAAGCAGAGUGAAGUCCUGAAGCUGAGCGUUGUAAUGUCUCGGUAGACCUGUGGGAAAGCUGGCUGCAGCCUCAGGAUGGAGGUCUGGAAGACAGAAGGUACACAAGGGGCCCCUCUCCAUCCACUCACCAGGGCUUGUUGCUUCUGGGCUUCCUCCUGCCAGAGGCUCCAGAUCUUCACUGCCAUCUGGGUGGGAGGUCAGGUUGGGUCUUGGGGGGUCUGCAGGGAGAGAAAAGCAUUGUCACCCAACCAGGACAUGGAGGACCAUCCAGACACUCAGUGAGAACCUCCUGGCUCUCCUGACUUUUCUAUGCUUUAUCCUGCACGUGGCUCCUGUGUGUGGACGAGGUGCUGCACUGGGCGACUCUGGGGAUGCCUGUCCUGUAGGGUUCCCAGUCCAGUGAUGGAGAGGGAGCCAAACAAUCACAAUCCAGGGUGAUCAAAGCUGUGACAGCUGGGGCUGGGGAUACAAAGGACUUGUGACAGCUCUUUAAUGGGCAGGAUCUGCCAGGUGGAGAGGCACGUACUUCCUUAGCCAUUCAUGAUUUAUUCACUGACCCAUGGGCCACACAUUGCCUGAGGCCUCCAUGGGCCAGGGACAGAAAAUGUCAGGGUCCCAGAGCCCAAGCAGUCCUGAGCCAUACCCUCCACAAGCUUCCCCAAGGAAGGGAACAGAGUCACCAUCCAGGAGGGAUACAGGCCACAGCGGAGAAAACGCCACUGCUGUCUUUGAAGACUGAGAAGCCAUGAGUCAAGCAAUACAGGUGACCUCCAGAAGCUGGCAACGGGCCAGGAAGGACUAUCUACGUGCUGGAGCCUCCAGAAGGAACAUGGUGGCCCUGCCAACACCUCGCCUCCAGCCCAGCCACAUGCAUUUGGAACUCCUGGCCUCCAGGACUGUAACAUAAUAAAAGUGUGCUGGUGGAAGCCACUGUGUUUGUGUUUCAGACCAAUCGGCAAAAGAGGGACAACCCAGCUUCUUCAUGGGGUGACUGGAGGAUUGAACAAGCAAGUCCUAAGAGCUGCUACUCAAUCAUUCAUUAGUUUAGAGCUGUCUGCUGGGCCCUAGAGCAGGUACUGUUCGUUCCAAACACUGGGGACACGCCCUGUCCUCACACAGCUCCCGCUCUGAAUGAUACAAUGGUAGUUAGAACGUGAGGGAGCGACAGACAAGAUGAGUAGGAGAGGAGGUAUGGAGUUCUAACAGGGUCCCAGGUUAAACUUUAAAAAUGUAAGCCCUGAGAGCCGCUUAGGCAGAGGGGAGGGCAACUGGAAGACUUUGAAGUAUCAGCUUGAAGAAUGACUGACUACAAGUAGGAAAGUGGUGAAGACAAGGCUGGGGAGGCAGAUAGGGGCCAGAGCAGGGUUUCCCAGGCUUAGCACUACUGACACUGGCGUGGGCCAAUCCUUGGUUGUGGGGCUGUGCUGUGCACUGUAGGAUGUGUGGCAGCCUCCCUUGGUUCCACCAGCUAGAUGCUAGCGGCACGCUGCGCUGGCCCAAGGAGUAACAAUCAAAAAUGUCUCCACACAUUGCCAAUGUCUCCUCGGCCAGCUGAGAACUGCUGGGCUAGGUCAUGCUGAUUCUGAGGAGCCCAGGAGCCAGGACUUCACCCUGUGGGUGGUAGAGAGCAUGGGUGAUCACCAAGCAGGGCAGUGAGUAGGCCCCUGGGGACAGGCAACACUCACCCAGCAGGAAGAGGUCCUGGCAAUUGUCCAACGCUGUGUCCCAGAACGUGUCCCCCUGUUCCAGCCCGAGCUGCUCCCAGUCUCCCAAGGUGAAGUCCAUGCCGACAUCCUUGAGGGUCACAAAUUCCUGAAACACAGUACACUAUUGGUCACUCAGAGGCUGGGGUCAGGGAGGAGCCCAACAGCUCACUCAGGGCACUCCCAGCCCUCAAUCUGCCAGGGCUUUGGCAAAAACCAUCCCAUCCUCAGCCUCACAAGAAUCUUGAGAUGUAAGAGACUGGAAACCCCUGUAUUUUGUAGGCAAAGAAAAGGACCUUGACUUUGACCAGGGGACAGGAUGUCAACCGAAGUUAACACAGGUGGGACUGAACCCAGGUCUGCCUGAUCCUAAAAAUCUAUUUUACGCUUUUGCUUUAAGUGUUCAUUCAAGACUUAUUUUGUAAACUUUCAAACAUACAUACAAGUAGAGAUGUAUAUAAUUAACACCCAUGAACUCAUCACCCAGGGGUCAUCUGAUUUCACCUGUGAAUACUUCAGUAUGAACAGUAACUCCUUAAUCACUGAACACCUAGACCACAUUCAAAAUCUGUAUACAGAUUAGUCUGACAUCUCAGUGGUGUGUCUUUAUAGCUAGCUCGUCUCAAUCAGAAUCCAGGGGGCCCAUACCCUGUAACUGAUGUG